rnacentral:rRNA from 1 species
GGCAAAAGCCCGAAACUCCAAGGACUUGACGGUGUCUCACACAACCUAGAGGAGCCUGUCCUGCAACCGAUACCCCACGCUACACCCAACCUUCUCUCGCACCACACAGCCUAUAUACCGCCGUCGUCAGUUCGCCCUCUGAAGGCCCCCACAGCGAACACAACACUCCACUCACUAACACGUCAGGUCAAGGUGUAGCUCACGAGAAGGAAGAGAUGGGCUACAUUCUCAGCCACACCUGAGCACACCAAUAGCAACAUGAAACUUUUGACCACAAGGUGGAUUUAGCAGUAAAUCGAACAAGACAUGCUCGCUUGAACCAAGCCCUGAGACGCGUACACACCGCCCGUCACCCUCAUCAAGAACAAAUCAACACACCCCAAACCCCUCUUUUCAAGUCAA